AGUGCUGUGUGACGGCAUUCCACACACCGACCUUCCCUGUAUGGCUUGUAGCCACCAGCUGGUUCCCAAUAAAGAAGAGAUCGUCCACAGGAUGAUGUUGCUUUCAGAGGCAGCGGCCACCAUCUUGUCCUUGUCUCCAUGUGGGCCUCCCACCACCUUGGCGUUUAGUGCGAUGCGUUCAAUGGUCCAGUCAAGGUGAGCCAGAGAGGGAUGGGUGAGGAGGGGGACCCACACGGGUGAAGCCCUCUGCUCCAUUUGGACCCGACCGCUCAUCAGAGGAGGGGCCAUGGGCUGCUGAGGCAGGGCCUAACUUCCGGGCAGGGAUGGCUGUCAAGAUAAUAUACACUGACAUUUAUAAAUAGAAAGAUGUGCAGAUUUGUAUUUUUAUAUUGCUCUGUGAUGAAAACUGAUGUCCUUCCUUGAAACGUAUGUUUAGUGUAUUGGGUAAUCAGAUCUCUCUCUGUUCCACUGAGUUUCAGGUCUUUACCUGGGGGCGGCAGGUAGCCAUGGAAGAGAACGCUACCACAAGAUGAGCGGUCUAGUUCCUCACACAGCAGCAGGCGCCGUACUACACACACACACAAAUACAUUGAAUUACUUUUGUAAUUACUGUCAAACAUCAAAAUAUAAACACUGCUUGAAAUAAUGGAAUGCAUGAUUGUAGUUAUUGAUGCUAAAUUAGUCUUGCUGUUGAUAGACUUUAAACUGAUACGAUACUGCUUUUGAGUUGAGGGCAUGGUCUGUGAUUUAAAUCGUACGUAAUAUUUUGCAGGGUAUUGUAUGUAAUUCGGUGAAUAUUAUGAUUUUAAGCAGGUGAUCCGUUUACACAAAGGUAAAUUUCCUAUUCAGGCUCAGACAAUGCAGGGAAGUUACAAAGACUGAAACAGGAAGUUGAACCACAUUAGAGCACACGGAAACAACGGUAAUAAGGUUUUGACCCUGGUCAGGUGGCUUUUGAAGCCAAAACAACAUUAGUUGUUACACAAAAAGGUUUCCCUUUUAAUAUAUCAUUCAAUGAUGUUAGUUUACUACAGAUGUUCAAAUUGUACCCCAAAAAGC